CUCGCCCCGCCCUGCCAUCUCGCCCGUCCCGCCGCCCCGCCGUCUCGCCCGCCCCACCGCCCCGCCCCGCCCGUCCCGCUCGCCGUGGCCGUGGCCGAUGACCGCGUCCCCGCCGUCCCGCCCUGCCGUCUCGCCCGUCCCGUCGCCCCGCCGUCUCGCCCGCCCCACCGCCCCGCCCCGCCCCGCUCGUCCCGCUCGCCAUGGCCGUGGCCGAUGACCGCGGCCCACCGUCCCGCCCUGUCCGCCGCAGCGGCCAUGGACGGUCCUUGCUGCGCCGCAUCCCCUGCCGGUCCUCCUUCUCCUGCGUCGCCCGGAGGUAUGCGGCCGCUGCUUGCGUUGUUGCUGCCCCUGUGAGCUCGCGCAUGUGCUCCGCCCCAUAGGCGUCGCCAUCGACUGCAGAAGGUCCAUGCCGGGCCCAAACUCGAGGACCACCGUUUGGGUGGCCCGUGGUUUAGCGACCGCCGUCACGCCGGACCACCCCCGGCCCUGGCCUAGGGUUUGGUGGGCGAGCUCAGUGCCGUCUUCCAGUGGUGGACGAGGAGAUCCGGCACGAACCACACACAGGGAGGAGCUCAACCUCUGCUGCCUCUGCGUGCCCCCAGGAAUAAAGAUGGCAACUUUUGGGGGCAAGGUUAUUUUAAAGUCUGAUGAUUGCUAUGUCGUGCAAGAGGGUGUUGAGCUGAUAGGUAAUUGCAGGAGUCGAUGAUAUGUAUAUUCCAGCACCUUUACUCAAGGGUCCAACAAAGGCAGCAUUGACCUCUCCUUAUCUACAGCCUAGUGAUGGCCACCACCAGUUUUGAAGCUGGUUGAGGUCCUUCGUACUCUUUGAGAGGUGGCACACAUACUAUAGAAGCGCUCCUGGACUGAGAAGCAUCUUGGUCCCAAAGGCGAGUCAAUUGAUUACAGAGGUGUUCUUCAUCAUGAUGGCUCUGUUUUGAUGCCAGUUUCCUUGGAUCAAUUGGAGGUAACAUGUAUUUUUCUUACCCUUUUUUGUGGCUUGUAUUGAUAUUUUCCUUGUGUGACCCCACCAAAAGAUAUCUCGAUGCAACUAUUUUCUAAUCUAAACAUGGAUGACUUUCAGCAAUCUCUUAGUUUUCAUGCAUUUAGCAAGAAUGCUACUUUGUUACUUGGGUUUUAUAUUUUCCUUGUGUGACCCCACCAAAAGAUAUCUCGUUGCAGCUAUUUUCUAAUCUAAACAUGGAUGACUUUCAGCAAUCUCUUAGUUUUCAUGCAUUUAGCAAGAAUGCUACUUUGUUACUUGGGUUGAUAAAAUAGCUACAGCACAUUGAGGCAAAAGGCAAAUGUACAUGCUCCUUAUUACUUAUCAGAAAACUUUUCCAGGGAGUUUUUUUGAUGUUUCUCAUAUGAAAUUGGAUUCAUACUAAUGCUGUUCUUACAUCCCAAAUGAAAGGGUCCAUGCUAUAGAAAUAAAUUGCUUUAAUUCACAUUCUUUAGAAGUAUAUGCAAUCGUGGACUAGAUGCAAAAUUUCUGUUGUAUGUCAUCCUUUAACUGACUACGAAUCAGCGUUUUAUUGUACAAAUGCUUCCUGGUAUGGGACCUGGAUAAGAAGUAUUUGGCCUGGACAUUUGAAUUUAUUCGGACAUUUUAUCUUACUAUAUGGUGAACUGGGAUCAACAUAUGUGGACAUGCAAAAAUACAUGCGCUAAGACUCAUAUAACUAUUCAUAACAUGAGUUAGGAACAAGUGCAGAUCUGUAAUUUUCAGCAAGCGAGAGAGGAUUACAUUUAGUUGUUUCAGUUUUAAACUACACUUGAGCCACUAUUCCUGAUAGUUCCAAACUAAUGUUUUGUUUGGCUUGCUGCUUGCAUGAAUUGAACCAUGCUUCCAGUUUUAAACUACACGUGAGCCACGGUUAAUGAUAAUUCCAAACUGAUGUUUUGUCUGCCUUGCAUGAAUUGAACCAUGCUACUCUGAAAUGUUGGUCUAGCGGAUUCUUACGAAUGGGCAAACUUAGGAAUACAUUGAAUUUCUAGAUGUUUUUAGCCUACUCUUUUCAUUGCUUUUCCAAUGUAGGUUGUUAGCAUGUUACACUUUUCAUGCAUAUGCUCUGUUGUUGCCUCUACCUCCUCUUUCUACAGGUUGCGAUACAAGUCACGGACCAGAAGACCAUAAGCAGGCAUUCGAUGCUUCUCGCUUUGCCUAAUCCAGCAGUAGGGCGUCACUGACAGGGUGGCGCACAACUCUGCUUUCACGGACUAUCCACGAGUCGGGGACGACUAAUUGAGCAUGCGGCUGGUUGAAGCAAACGACAAUCUGGCAGCAGAAGCUUGUGGCUUUCUAAGCUGGAUCAGCAGCACCUGUUAGAUGCUUGCAAAUGGACACAUUAAGAAUUCAGGAACCCAAAGAUUAGGUUGAGCCGAGCAUUGUAAGGAUCCAAGUAGAACGAUGCUCCAUCUCUUGUUAGAGCAGCCUGGGCUUCCCAAGGCCAUUUACCGUGUCAGAGGAUACUUGCAGAACACGAUAAGUAACCGUUCUUUUCAACACCACUGUCCAGAAUAGCGGGAGCUGUCCAACGCAAUUGUUGAUUACUUGUGUGUUGCUCUCCAAAUGAGGCAAUGGGGGAAGAUUCUGCCGCCUUUGAGGCAAUUAUGUACAUGGAGAACGCCACAAACAUUGUGGCAAAGGAACUGAAAAUACGAAUGGCUGAGCAAAUGUAAUGAGACCUUGGUUAUCUAAGGCUCGGACUCAAUUAGGCAUUUGACAUGAUAGACAACCUUGCUAAAGGUUAUUUAUAUGAUGUGAGAUACAUGUCCUCCUUUUCAGAUUAGAUUCAUAGUGUCAUGGCAGAUGCCUUUCCUCCUACUUGUGCGAUGGAUAAAUCAACAAAGUUGAUGGUUAUUAUAUUGAAUUGGUGGGGCAUAAUCAUGAGGACAGAACCUGCCACUAGCUACUGGGAUGUGUUGUGUGAGCUACUGUCGGACUGUCCUUGCCUUCUAUAAGAGUGCAUAUUAGUUGCACUGAUGCACUGCUAAAGCUUUAGCAGAACUAUAUAGGAUUCUUACCUUGGAAUGACUUUUGCUUUUGCUAUCUAAUAACCCAACUAUUGUUUUA